rnacentral:rRNA from 1 species
CCUUCUUUUUCGCGCUUUCCUCGGAAUUACUGGGCGUAAAGCGUGCGCAGGCGGUUUCGUAAGUCUGUCGUGAAAUCCCCGGGCUUAACCUGGGAAUGGCGAUGGAGACUGCGAGGCUAGAGUUUGGCAGAGGGGGGUAGAAUUCCACGUGUAGCAGUGAAAUGCGUAGAGAUGUGGAGGAACACCGAUGGCGAAGGCAGCCCCCUGGGUCAAAACUGACGCUCAUACACGAAAGCGUGGGGAGCAAACAGGA